rnacentral:misc_RNA from 1 species
CCAUGCUGACCAGAACGUACAGCCACAGCAGCAAAAUCCUUGAUCUUAGUCCGAACAAUAUUGAUACCACGAUCAUCACUUGCAUUUAGUUCCAAAACUCUGGAUUUGUAGAGUUCAGGCCCAAAAAGCUGGUGGGCGAUGGCCAAUGCGGUGGUGGUCUUGCCGGUACCAGGAGGGCCAUAAAAGAGCAUAUGUGGGCAAUUAGUGGUCUCGAGGGUGUUGGUGAGGACACGAACGACCUCGUCCUGGUGAGCC